UACAGGGGGGGCAAGCGUUGUUCGGAAUUACUGGGCGUAAAGGGUUCGUAGGUGGCUCACUAAGUCACACGUGAAAUCCCUCAGCUUAACUGGGGAACUGCGUGUGAAACUGGAGAGCUUGAGGGUAGGAGAGGAAUGCGGAAUUCCAGGUGUAGCGGUGAAAUGCGUAGAUAUCUGGAGGAACACCGGUGGCGAAGGCGGCAUUCUGGACUAUUUCUGACACUGAUGAACGAAAGCCAGGGGAGCAAACGGGAUUAGAUACCCCGGUAGUCCUGGCCCUAAACGAUGAAUGCUUGGUGUGGCGGGUAUCGAUCCCUGCCGUGCCGCAGUUAACGCGUUAAGCAUUCCGCCUGGGGAGUACGGUCGCAAGGCUGAA
rnacentral:rRNA from 1 species